UUACGGGAGGCAGCAGUGGGGAAUCUUAGACAAUGGGCGCAAGCCUGAUCUAGCCAUGCCGCGUGAGCGAUGAAGGCCUUAGGGUUGUAAAGCUCUUUCGUGGGGGAAGAUAAUGACGGUACCCCAAGAAGAAGCCCCGGCUAACUCCGUGCCAGCAGCCGCGGUAAUACGGAGGGGGCUAGCGUUGUUCGGAAUUACUGGGCGUAAAGCGCACGUAGGCGGACUGGAAAGUCAGAGGUGAAAUCCCAGGGCUCAACCUUGGAACUGCCUUUGAAACUCCCAGUCUUGAGGUCGAGAGAGGUGAGUGGAAUUCCGAGUGUAGAGGUGAAAUUCGUAGAUAUUCGGAGGAACACCAGUGGCGAAGGCGGCUCACUGGCUCGAUACUGACGCUGAGGUGCGAAAGCGUGGGGAGCAAACAGGAUUAGAAACCCGGGUAGUCCU
rnacentral:rRNA from 1 species